rnacentral:rRNA from 1 species
CCCUUAGAUGUUCUGGGCCGCACGCGCGCUACACUGAUGCAUUCAACGAGUCUAAAACCUGGUCUGAUAGGGCUGGGUAAUCUUUUGAGUGUGCAUCGUGAUUGGGAUAGAUGAUUGCAAUUCUUCAUCUUCAACGAGGAAUGCCUAGUAAACGCAAGUCAUCAGCUUGCAUUGAUUACGUCCCUGCCCUUUGUACACACCGCCCGUCGCUCCUACCGAUUGAAUGUUCCGAUGAAUACCAUGGACUGAGAGUAUGAAUGGGUUCGCCUAUUUCUGCUUCUCGGGAAGUGGAGUAAAUCUUAACAUUUAGAGGAAGGAGAAGUCGUAACA